GUGAACGCUGGCGGUAGGCCUAACACAUGCAAGUCGAACGGCAGCACAGUAAGAGCUUGCUCUUACGGGUGGCGAGUGGCGGACGGGUGAGGAAUACAUCGGCAUCUACUUUUUCGUGGGGGAUAACGUAGGGAAACUUACGCUAAUACCGCAUACGACCUACGGGUGAAAGCAGGGGAUCUUCGGACCUUGCGCGAUUGAAUGAGCCGAUGUCGGAUUAGCUAGUUGGCGGGGUAAAGGCCCACCAAGGCGACGAUCCGUAGCUGGUCUGAGAGGAUGAUCAGCCACACUGGAACUGAGACACGGUCCAGACUCCUACGGGAGGCAGCAGUGGGGAAUAUUGGACAAUGGGCGCAAGCCUGAUCCAGCCAUACCGCGUGGGUGAAGAAGGCCUUCGGGUUGUAAAGCCCUUUUGUUGGGAAAGAAAAGCAGCAGGUUAAUACCCCGCUGUUCUGACGGUACCCAAAGAAUAAGCACCGGCUAACUUCGUG
rnacentral:rRNA from 1 species